AUGUAAAAUUAAAACGGAAAAAAUAAACAGUCUGUCCCCCUCCCACUACCUGCUCUUUCUUUCCAUCCUCCCUUUUUCCAUAACUUUUCACAUUUAUUAUUAUUCCAAUCAAACCGUUGAAUUCAUCAUCAAACAGCAGCUAGGGUUUCCAAAUUCAUGAACUAAAAAUAGCAUGAAAAGCCUCUUGAAAAAGCUACACAUCCGAUCAAAUCAAUCAUCAUCACCGAAUGAGCUGAACAAACCCUUGUCUUCGAUCACCGGGUGGCUUAAGCGAAGUCAAACUCAAAGCCCUAAGUCAACGGGAGGGGUUGACCAGGAGGAAGUGGGGGUAGAGGAAGAGUAUCAGAUUCAAUUGGCGUUGGAGUUGAGUGCUAAGGAGGAUCCGGAGGCUGUUCAGAUUGAAGCUGUUAAGGAGAUUAGCUUGGGGUCUAGUGAUCCGCUUGCCGCUCGUUAUUGGAAUUACAGUGCUCUUAGCUAUGAUGACAAGAUUGUUGAUGGUUUCUAUGAUCUGUACGGGGUGUUGUCGGGACCCACAUCUUCAAAGAUGCCUUCCCUGGUGGAUUUACAAUCUACACCCGUGUCAGAUAAUGUUACAUGGGAAGCGGUUCUUGUUAAUAAGGCUACAGAUUCUAAGCUUUUAGAACUCGAACAGAUGGCCCUAGAGAUGGCUGUCAAGUUGAUGUCUGAAUCUAUUGAUUCUGCUGGGCAGAAUUUGGUGCAGAGACUUGCGGUUUUAGUUUCUGAUCACAUGGGGGGCCCGGUUAGAAAUCCAGAAAAUAUGGUGAUAGCUUGGAGAGAAUUUAGCUCACGAUUAAAGGGAACUAUUGGAAGCAUGGUUUUGCCUCUUGGCUCGUUAAAAAUUGGAUUGGCCCGUCAUCGGGCGUUGCUUUUUAAGGUUUUGGCUGAUAGUGUGGGCAUCCCUUGCUGCUUAGUGAAAGGGAAGCAAUACACUGGUUCCGACAAAGUUGCAGUGAAUUUUAUAAAACUUGGUGAUGGCAGGGAAUAUAUUGUUGACUUGAUGGCGGAUCCCGGAACUAUCAUUCCAUCUGACACGCCAAGAGGAUCAAACGUAGACUAUGAAGAAUCUUGUUCAUCGAGCCCAUGGUCCCGAGAUGAAGAUUCUUCUUAUCUUGCUUCCUCCACAAGCGGCCUCACCACUUCAUCUGUAGAUUACAUGGAAAACAAUAACACACAUUCAUCACAACCAAACAAAUCUGUAUUAGAACCCAAGAUAUCCUUACCCCAGGUUCCAAAAAAAGUGUAUAAAGAUAAAGGAGGAAACUCACAAUACGCGCAUGCAAGAUCCCCUUCAUGGACUGAGGGCGUAAGUACCCCUGCGGUACGUAAAAUGAAGGUAAACGAUGUUUCACAGUACAUGAUGGAAGCUGCUAAAGAAAACCCCCAGUUAGCACAGAAACUACACGAUGUGUUACUUGAAAGUGGCGUUGUUGCUCCUCCAGACCUCUUUACCGAAGUAUAUGAAGAGGAAUUAUCAAAAAGUACUACGGAAAGUCAAAGUCAAACUCAUUCAAGUCAGCCUCGCUUCUUGCCUCCAUUGCCGCCUCCACAAAGAGCUUCUUCACGAUCUGAAGUAAAUCUUCCAGCUGCAGCGGCAGCCGCUGCAGCUGCUGUUGCGGUUGCUUCCUCGAUGGUGGUGAAUGCCACCAAAACCGUAACGGACCAAAAUAUACAACUACCUGUAGCAGCUGCAGCCACGGUGACGGCGGCAGUUAUGGUGGCCGCAACAACAACUUCUGCUGCAAAGCAGUACGAGAUAUCUGGUCAGUCACAAAUUGAAAAUUUAAAUGAUAACGAAAGGGAUAGGAGGAAUACGGAAGCACAAUAUGAGAUAGGUCAAGAUGGGGAGAGAAUAUCAGAUAGGUCAACCGGUAACGAAAGCACAGUGUCUGAAGUAUCACUCGAGGAUGUAGCAGAUUGUGAAAUAGCAUGGGAGGAUAUCACAUUGGGUGAACGUAUCGGAUUGGGGUCAUAUGGGGAGGUAUACCGUGGGGACUGGCAUGGAACUGAUGUUGCUGUUAAGAAGUUUCUAGACCAAGAAAUAACUACUGAAUCCCUUGAGGAAUUCAGAAGUGAGGUCAGGAUCAUGAAAAAAGUAAGACAUCCGAAUGUUGUACUCUUCAUGGGGGCUGUAACACGUGCACCACAUCUUUCAAUUGUUACCGAAUUUCUUCCUAGAGGUAGUUUAUAUAGAUUACUCCAUCGGCCCAACAACCAACUAGAUAUUCGAAGGCGCUUGAGGAUGGCUCUUGAUACUGCUCGCGGUAUGAACUAUUUGCACAAUUGCACACCUGUUAUCGUUCACCGUGAUUUAAAGACUCCUAAUCUCCUUGUUGAUAAGAAUUGGGUUGUGAAGGUUUCUGAUUUUGGGUUGUCGAGAAUGAAGUACAGCACGUUUCUUUCUACAAGAUCUACUGCUGGAACAGUAUGUAUUAUCUAUCUAGUAUAUGAUGGAGAAAAUGAAUCGACCACAAAUUAGAAGUGGCAAAAUGGGCAACUUAUAGUGCAGAUCAAAGCGGGUCAAUGUGAAGCAUCUUUUGUCCAGAAAAAAAGCUGAGUGGAUGGCUCCAGAAGUCCUAAGAAACGAACCCUCAGAUGAAAAGAGCGAUGUUUAUAGCUUUGGCGUGGUUUUAUGGGAACUUUGCACGUUGCAACAACCAUGGGGCGGAAUGAACCCAAUGCAAGUUGUUGGUGCAGUUGGGUUUCAACAUCGUCGUCUUGAAAUUCCAGAUGACAUGAGCCCCGUCAUUGCAGAUAUCAUCACAAAUUGUUGGCAAACUGACCCAAAACUACGGCCUACAUUUGCUGACAUCAUGGCGUCCUUGAAGCCUCUUCAGAAGUUGAAUACAAUUUCCAGAACAGUGUAAGGACCAAUUGGAUCGUAUAAUGUAACAACAGCAAGCUGGGCAAAGUGUCUGCACUCGUAAUCUGUGAAUAAUUAAGUCAUUUAAACGAUAUAUAUGUGAGGAGGCUGUUGUUUGAAUAUAGCGAUGAAAACAUGCAUGUUUCAAGGGAUUCUGAUUCUUCUGUAUUCUUCCUAUAUAGUUAUUUUCAUGUAGCUAUAGGCUUUGGUCAUGUGACCAUCUCAAUUUUCUGUUUUGCUUUGUUGUAAAUUCAUGUUGUAUCCUGGUCAUAGUUACAUGUUUAUACACACUCGCGAUGUGUUGGUAUGUCACACUGCAAUUGAAACAAAGAUUUUGUGAA